GAUGAGGUAUCUAUUCGUAGAUGUAUGGAUUUUAUCUAUACAAAUUCAGAUGGAAACUUAACU
rnacentral:tRNA from 5 species